GACGAACGCUGGCGGCGUGCUUAACACAUGCAAGUCGAACGCUGAAGCCCAGCUUGCUGGGUGGAUGAGUGGCGAACGGGUGAGUAACACGUGAGUAACCUGCCCCCUUCUUUGGGAUAACGCCCGGAAACGGGUGCUAAUACUGGAUAUUCACUGGCCUUCGCAUGGGGGUUGGUGGAAAGGUUUUUUCUGGUGGGGGAUGGGCUCGCGGCCUAUCAGCUUGUUGGUGGGGUGAUGGCCUACCAAGGCUUUGACGGGUAGCCGGCCUGAGAGGGUGACCGGUCACAUUGGGACUGAGAUACGGCCCAGACUCCUACGGGAGGCAGCAGUGGGGAAUAUUGCACAAUGGGCGAAAGCCUGAUGCAGCGACGCCGCGUGAGGGAUGACGGCCUUCGGGUUGUAAACCUCUUUCGCUCAUGGUCAAGCCGCAACAAUGGUUGUGGUGAGGGUAGUGGGUAAAGAAGCGCCGGCUAACUACGUGCCAGCAGCCGCGGUAAUACGUAGGGCGCGAGCGUUGUCCGGAAUUAUUGGGCGUAAAGGGCUUGUAGGCGGUUGGUCGCGUCUGCCGUGAAAUCCUCUGGCUUAACUGGGGGCGUGCGGUGGGUACGGGCUGACUUGAGUGCGGUAGGGGAGACUGGAACUCCUGGUGUAGCGGUGGAAUGCGCAGAUAUCAGGAAGAACACCGGUGGCGAAGGC
rnacentral:rRNA from 1 species